CUUCUCUUGGGUUUCUGAACCCUCCAGCUCCUCUUCCACCCUGCAUCUUUGCUUUUUGCAGGAGCUGCCAGAUGUCAAAUUGCUUCAUAUUCUGCGGCUUCGAGAUCCAGGCAAAUGUCCACGAAGGAGAGGAUCGUAACCACCAAGACUCAGUGUGAACGCAGGGCCCUGGAUUCUGUUGUGGGUAGGAAUCCGAUGGACCAGGUGUGCAGAUCCUUUGGCUUGGCUGCCCGUGAUCCCUCUGAAGCCAGUAGCACUGGUUUGAUGCAAUCACUACUCAACAAUUUACCAAGCAAGACUGGGCCCUACCAUCUCCAACUUUCUCACAUGUCAGUGACAAGAAACAGAGGCUGAGGACUGACCUAUAAUCCCUGAUGAAAAGUAACACUACCAUUAAAUCCCGACUCCAUUGUGCUACCUGUGAUAGUUAAUUUUAAUGCCAACUUGACUGGCUCAUGCAGUGCCCAGAAUGUUUUUGGCUAAACAUUAUUUCUGGAAGUGUCCAUGAAGGUGUUCCCAGGAGAGAUUAGUAUUUGAGUUGGUGGACUGAGU
rnacentral:lncRNA from 12 species